rnacentral:rRNA from 1 species
AUUGAACGCUGGCGGCAGGCUUAACACAUGCAAGUCGAACGAGUGGCGGACGGGUGAGUAAUGUCUGGGAAACUGCCUGAUGUCGGGGGAUAACUACUGGAAACGGUGGCUAAUACCGCAUACCAUCGGAUGUGCCCAGAUGGGAUUAGCUAGUAGGUGGGGUAAAGGCUCACCUAGGCGACGAUCCCUAGCUGGUCUGAGAGGAUGACCAGCCACACUGGAACUGAGACACGGUCCAGACUCCUACGGGAGGCAGCAGUGGGGAAUAUUGCACAAUGGGCGCAAGCCUGAUGCAGCCAUGCCGCGUGUAUGAAGAAGGCCUUCGGGUUGUAAAGUACUUUUGGCGGGGAGGCGGUACCCGCAGAAGAAGCACCGGCUAACUACGUGCCAGCAGCCGCGGUAAUUC